rnacentral:rRNA from 1 species
UACGUAGGGACCGAACGUUAUCCGGAAUUAUUGGGCGUAAAGAGCGUGUAGGCGGCCAGGUAGGUCCGUUGUGAAAACUCGAGGCUCAACCUCGAGACGUCGGCGGAAACCCUCUGGCUAGAGUCCGGAAGAGGAGAGUGGAAUUCCUGGUGUAGCGGUGAAAUGCGCAGAUAUCAGGAAGAACACCCGUGGCGAAGGCGGCUCUCUGGGACGGUACUGACGCUGAGACGCGAAAGCGUGGGGAGCAAACAGG